GUCCUCAAUGGACUCCUAAACCACUUAACCGAUUAUAAUAAAAUACGCACACCAUGUGCAGUUCGAUCCAACUUGAGAGAUUCUUCUCGUGGUCACAAUGUUUGUCCUCAAUGGACUCCUAAACCACUUAACCGAUUAUAAUAAAAUACGCACACCAUGUGCAGUUCGAUCCAACUUGAGAGAUAGGAUAGUUUAAAUCUCAAAUUAUAGUCGCAAUUUUAAUUUAUUGCUAAUUAUUUGUCUGUUAUUAUUUGACAGUCACAAUUAUCUGUUAACUCCAAAUGAUUCUAACAGUGUCGAUACCUUUCGACUGGGUUGAGUAAGUAAUCAAUAGAUGGUGCUGCUAUGGUAAAUCUACGAACGUGUCAUAUAAGCUACAUUUUAACAGCAUAAUUACCACGUGUUGUUGACGCUAUAAAAUUAAUUAAAUUUAUUUUGUAGUGAACGAAAUACCGUACAAUUCAAUUAUUUCCACUUUUUAAAUUUUUGGUGUUAGCAUAGCCGGUCACGUGUUACUUAGACUGAAGUGUAAAUUGCAUUCAUAUUAUAAUGAAGAUAAUACAGUGAAAUUAAUCCUGUUUUUUUACUUAUUUGUGCUUCAUUGAUCAAAACUUUAUAAUUUAAUUUAAUUUGAAUAUAUGUAUUCAAAUGCCACGAAAAAAAUCUAACCUCAACAACGCGAGCACCAGAGAGGCACGACGCAAACGUAUUAAAAGAGCCCAUCAGUUGGCAGAACAAAUUGAAUCAAGAAAUCCAGCUCAAAGAAUCAGGAUAGCAGAAGGUCAUGCACAAGAAUCUCAAGAACAGUGUAACGAACGUCUUCAAGAGAAUAUCAUAAGAACAAGAGCAGCAGGAGAACGAGACAUAGCCACAGUAGGAGCACAGGAACAAUAAUCCCCUAUUAUUCUCCUCCGUAAUUUGAAUCCACCUCAAUUAUGUAACGGUACGCGUUUGGUCAUCAAAAAGAUCACCGGAAACAUUCUUGAAGCAACCAUUUUGGCUGGUUUAAAGGAAAAGUGGUCCUGCUGCCACGUAUUCCGAUGAUACCAUCAGAUUCUACCAUACCCUUCAAAAGGCUACAGUUUCCAAUUCGUUUAGCUUUCGCCAUGUCUAUAAAUAAAUCUCAAGGUCAAACAAUGUCCAUUUGUGGUUUAGAUUUGGAAAAUCCAUGUUUUUCUCAUGGGCAACUAUAUGUUGCGUGUUCACGUGUUGGGAAACCGUCGAAUCUAUUUGUGUUAGCUAAAGACAGGUUAACCAAAAACAUUGUGCACCGAUUGGUGUUAAAUUAAAUUGAAAUUGAAAGUAU
rnacentral:lncRNA from 1 species